rnacentral:rRNA from 1 species
GAUGAACGCUAGCGACAGGCUUAACACAUGCAAGUCGAGGGGCAGCACAGGUAGCAAUACCGGGUGGCGACCGGCGCACGGGUGAGUAACGCGUAUGCAACUUACCUAUCAGAGGGGGAUAACCCUGCGAAAGUCGGACUAAUACCGCAUGAAGCAGGGGUCCCGCAUGGGGAUAUUUGCUAAAGAUUCAUCGCUGAUAGAUAGGCAUGCGUUCCAUUAGGCAUUUGGCGGGGUAACGGCCCACCAAACCGACGAUGGAGAGGGGUUCUGAGAGGAAGGUACACCGGAAUGGAACCAAGACACGGACCAAAAUGGGACGGAGGGGAGGAGUGAGGAAUAUUAGUGGAGGGAGGAGAGGGGGAAACAGCCAAGUCGGGUGAGAGAGGAAGGGGAUAGGGAUAGUAAACUUCUUUGAAAAGAGAAUAAAGUGAGGGACGAGGCACGUUUUGAAGGUACCUUAUGAAUAAGGAACGGCUAACUACGUG